GACGAACCUUGCUAACGUUAUUCGGAAUUACUGGGCUUAAAGGGUGCGUAGGCGGUGCAGAAAGUUGGGUGUGAAAGCCCUCGGCUCAACCGAGGAAUUGCGCCCAAAACUGCUGCACUAGAGGAAGACAGAGGUACGCGGAACUUAGGGUGGAGCGGUGAAAUGCGUUGAUAUCCUAAGGAACACCGGUGGCGAAGGCGGAUCUCUGGGCCUUACCUGACGCUCAGGUGCGAAAGCUAGGGGAGCGAACAGG
rnacentral:rRNA from 1 species